rnacentral:rRNA from 1 species
AGCGAACGCUGGCGGCAGGCUUAACACAUGCAAGUCGAACGCCCCGCAAGGGGAGUGGCGGACGGGUGGGUAACACGUGGGAACGUACCCUUUGGUUCGGAAUAACUUGGGGAAACUCAAGCUAAUACCGGAUAAGCCCUUAUGGGGAAAGGUUUACUGCCGAAGGAUCGGCCCGCGUCUGAUUAGCUAGUCGGUGAGGUAAUGGCUCACCAAGGCGACGAUCAGUAGCUGGGCUGAGAGGAUGAUCAGCCACACUGGGACUGAGACACGGCCCAGACUCCUACGGGAGGCAGCAGUGGGGAAUAUUGGACAAUGGGGGCAACCCUGAUCCAGCCAUGCCGCGUGAGUGAUGAAGGCCUUAGGGUUGUAAAGCUCUUUUACCCGGGACGAUAAUGACUGUGCCGGGAGAAUAAGCCCCGGCUAACUUCGUGCCAGCAGCCGCGGUAA